AGAGUUUGAUCCUGGCUCAGGAUGAACGCUGGCGGCGUGCUUAACACAUGCAAGUCGAACGCAGUCUUUCGGGACUGAGUGGCGAACGGGUGAGUAACGCGUGAGGAUCUGCCCUUAGGUGGGGGACAACCGUUGGAAACGACGGCUAAUACCGCAUAUGGCGGGAGCUAAAAGCUUAAUGUGCCUGAGGAUGAACUCGCGUCUGAUUAGCUAGUUGGUGAAGUAAUGGUUUACCAAGGCGACGAUCAGUAGCUGGUCUGAGAGGAUGAUCAGCCACACUGGACUGAGACACGGCCCAGACUCCUACGGGAGGCAGCAGUGGGGAAUUUUCCGCAAUGGGGGCAACCCUGACGGAGCAACGCCGCGUGGGGGAGGAAUGUCUGUGGAUUGUAAACCCCUUUUCUCAGGGAAGAAGAUCUGACGGUACCUGAGGAAUCAGCAUCGGCUAACUCCGUGCCAGCAGCCGCGGUAAGACGGAGGAUGCAAGCGUUAUCCGGAAUUAUUGGGCGUAAAGCGUCCGUAGGCGGUUUAUCAAGUCUGUCGCUAAAGACUGCAGCUUAACUGUGGGCGAGCGGUGGAAACUGAUUAACUAGAGUGUGGUAGGGGUAGAGGGAAUUCCCAGUGUAGCGGUGAAAUGCGUAGAUAUUGGGAAGAACACCAGUGGCGAAGGCGCUCUACUGGGCCACAACUGACGCUGAGGGACGAAAGCUAGGGGAGCGAAAGGGAUUAGAUACCCCUGUAGUCCUAGCUGUAAACGAUGGAUACUAGGUGUUGCGCGUAUCGACCCGUGCAGUACCGCAGCCAACGCGAUAAGUAUCCCGCCUGGGGAGUACGCACGCAAGUGUGAAACUCAAAGGAAUUGACGGGGGCCCGCACAAGCGGUGGAGUAUGUGGUUUAAUUCGAUGCAACGCGAAGAACCUUACCAGGGCUUGACAUCCCUCGAAUCUCUUGGAAACGAGAGAGUGCCUUCGGGAGCGAGGAGACAGGUGGUGCAUGGCUGUCGUCAGCUCGUGUCGUGAGAUGUUGGGUUAAGUCCCGCAACGAGCGCAACCCACGUCCUUAGUUGCCAUCAUUCAGUUGGGCACUCUGGGGAGACUGCCGGGGACAACUCGGAGGAAGGUGUGGAUGACGUCAAGUCAUCAUGCCCCUUACGUUCUGGGCUACACACGUACUACAAUGCUUCGGACAAAGGGCAGCGAGC
rnacentral:rRNA from 1 species